GACGAACGCUGGCGGCGUGCUUAACACAUGCAAGUCGAGCGGAAAGGCCCUUUCGGGGGUACUCGAGCGGCGAACGGGUGAGUAACACGUGAGUAAUCUGCCCUUGGCUUUGGGAUAACUACCGGAAACGGUGGCUAAUACCGGAUACGACGUACUCAGGCAUCUGAUGUGCGUGGAAAGUUUUUCGGCCAGGGAUGUGCUCGCGGCCUAUCAGCUUGUUGGUGGGGUAAUGGCCUACCAAGGCUUCGACGGGUAGCCGGCCUGAGAGGGUGACCGGCCACACUGGGACUGAGACACGGCCCAGACUCCUACGGGAGGCAGCAGUGGGGAAUAUUGGACAAUGGGCGGAAGCCUGAUCCAGCAACGCCGCGUGAGGGAUGACGGCCUCGGUU
rnacentral:rRNA from 1 species